UACAGAGGUGGCAAGCGUUGUUCGGAAUUACUGGGCGUAAAGGGCGCGUAGGCGGCCUACUAAGUCAGACGUGAAAUCCCCAGGCUUAACUUGGGAACUGCGUCUGAUACUGGGAGGCUUGAGUGCGGGAGAGGGAUGUGGAAUUCCAGGUGUAGCGGUGAAAUGCGUAGAUAUCUGGAGGAACACCGGUGGCGAAGGCGGCAUCCUGGACCGACACUGACGCUGAGGCGCGAAAGCGUGGGGAGCAAACAGG
rnacentral:rRNA from 1 species